AAAUUGAAGAGUUUGAUCAUGGCUCAGAUUGAACGCUGGCGGCAGGCCUAACACAUGCAAGUCGAACGGUAACAGGAAACAGCUUGCUGUUUCGCUGACGAGUGGCGGACGGGUGAGUAAUGUCUGGGAAACUGCCUGAUGGAGGGGGAUAACUACUGGAAACGGUAGCUAAUACCGCAUAACGUCGCAAGACCAAAGAGGGGGACCUUCGGGCCUCUUGCCAUCGGAUGUGCCCAGAUGGGAUUAGCUUGUUGGUGGGGUAA
rnacentral:rRNA from 1 species